rnacentral:rRNA from 1 species
UACGUAGGGGGCAAGCGUUGUCCGGAAUCAUUGGGCGUAAAGCGCGUGUAGGCGGUUCGGUAAGUCGGCUGUGAAAGUCCAGGGCUCAACCCUGGGAUGCCGGUCGAUACUGCCGGACUAGAGUUCGGAAGAGGCGAGUGGAAUUCCCGGUGUAGCGGUGAAAUGCGCAGAUAUCGGGAGGAACACCAAUGGCGAAGGCGAGUCCCUGGACAACUCCUGACACUAAGGCACGAAAGCUAGGGGAGCAAACAGG